rnacentral:rRNA from 1 species
CCAAAUAGCUGAGUCGAGUCUUCGGACAAAACGUAGUGGUAAAAGUUCUUCCAAGAAAAGCGAGUAUAGCAGCCCGUACCGUAAACCGACACAGGUAGACGGGACGAAUAUUCUAAGGCGCUCGGGUGAGCCGUGGAGAAGGAACUAGGCAAAUUGACGCUGUAACUUCGGGAUAAAGCGUUCCCUCUUCGGAGGGAUUCAAUGAAAUGGUUCAACCAACUGUUUAGCAGAAACACAGGGCCCUGCAAAAUCGAAAGAUGACGUAUAGAGCCUGAUACCUGCCCGGUGCUGGAAGGUUAAGGGAGGGUGUUCGCCGCAAGGCAAAGCUCCUGACUGAAGCCCCAGUAAACGGCGGCCGUAACAAUAACGGUCCUAAGGUAGCGAAAUUCCUUGUCGGGUAAGUUCCGACCUGCACGAAUGGUCUAAUGAGUUGAACUCUGUCUCCUCCACGAGCCCGGUGAAAUUGUAGUAUCGGUGAAGAUGCCGGUUACCCGCCACGGGACGGAAAGACCCCGUGAACCUUCACUACAACUUUGCAUUGAUUUUGAAUUACGGAUGUGUAGAAUAGUUGGGACGCUUUGAAGCCUUGCCGCCAGGUAGGGUGGAGCGGUCGGUGAAAUACCAACCUUCUUUGAUUUAGAAUCUAAUCCCUUGCGGGAAACAGUGCAUGGUGGGUAGUUUGACUGGGGUGGUCGCCUCCUAAAGAGUAACGAAGGCUUGCAAAGGUUCCCUCAGUACGGUUGGUAAUCGUACGAAGAGCGCAUUAGUAUAAGGGAGCUUGACUGUGAGGCACACAAGCCGAGCAGGGACGAAAGUCGGCUAAAGUGAUCCGGCGGUUCUGUAUGGAAGGGCCGUCGCUCAAAGGAUAAAAGGUACUCCGGAUAACAGGCUGAUCUCCCCCAAGAGCUCAUAUCGACGGGGAGGUUUGGCACCUCGAUGUCGGUUCGUCACAUCCUGGGGCUGGAGAAGGUCCCAAGGGUUCGGCUUUUCGCCGAUUAAAGUGGCACGUGAACUGGGUUCAGAACGUCGCAAGACAGUUCGGUCCCUAUCUGUGGUGGGCGUCAGUAGAUUGAGAGGACAUGACCUUAGUACGAGAGGACCGGGUCGUACGUACCGCUGGUGUAUCGGUUGUGCCGCCAGGUGCAGUGCCGGGUAGCUAUGUACGGACAGGAUAAACGCUGAAAGCAUCAAAGCGUGAAACCUACCUCA